UACGAAGGGGCUAGCGUUGUUCGGAUUUACUGGGCGUAAAGCGCACGUAGGCGGAUUGUUAAGUCAGGGGUGAAAUCCUGGAGCUCAACUCCAGAACUGCCUUGAUACUGGCAAUCUUGAGUCCGGAAGAGGUGAGUGGAACUCCUAGUGUAGAGGUGGAAUUCGUAGAUAUUAGGAAGAACACCAGUGGCGAAGGCGGCUCACUGGUCCGGUACUGACGCUGAGGUGGCGAAAGCGUGGGGAGCAAACAGGG
rnacentral:rRNA from 1 species